GCAGUCGUCACCGAGUGGUUAAGGCGAUGGACUAAAAAAUCCAUUGGGGUCUCCCCGCACAGGUUCCAAUCCUGUCGACUGCG
rfam:Ixodes scapularis strain Wikel colony gcontig_1107728730800, whole genome shotgun sequence.